GUGGAUGUGAAUGGGCUAAGAAUGCAGAUAUACAAAUGAGCAUGGUGGGCCCAGUUAGAAGAGAGGGAACCAGAGUCCUCUCCUGAAAAUCCCUCCAGAAAAGUGCAAAGUACUAUCCACACACCAAGUUUGUUGAGGGGAAGACAGCCACCAGUGAAGCCUGGCAGACAAAGCUUUGUAACUGCCUAUGGUCAGGACUGAAAGAUCACAUACAAUUUUCACCUGAAGCCAGACUCUUCGGCCUGCUGACUGAUCUUGCUUACACUCUUGACCCCUAUAAUUCAUUUUCCCAAAAGCAACCAGGGAGAUUUGUUAAACAUAAUUAUAUUAUAAUCCAAACUCCUUAUUAUAACAUACAGGUUCUAUAUGCUCCUUGCUUUGCUCUCUGACUUCAUCACCCCACUCAAGCCACAGGGGCCUGCAGUCUGUUCCACAGACACACGAAACUCACAUACAUCUAAAUAUCUUUAUACCCUCUGCUCAGAACAUUUUUUUCCACCUCUUUACAUAGUUUUCUUCCUUACUUCAUUCAUCUCUUUGCUGAAUUACCAUCCUGUCAAAGCAGUCUUCUAUGACUACAUGAAAGAGCUUGGCAGUUCCUAACACUGUCUGUCUUUUAUUGCUUUAUUUUCUUCAUUAAAUAUAUAACCUGGUAUAAUAUUAUGUAUUUAUUUGCUAACAUUGUAUUGUCUGUUUCAUGAGAAUAUUGACUUCAGAAGACUGAAAAUUUGCAAUACUUCUUACGGAAUCCUCAUUGCCUGAAACAGAACCUCAUAUAUGGUAUAUGGUUAAUAAAUGUUAGAUGAAUAAAUGAAUAAAAUGAGAAAUAUAGGUUCAUUUCUGUUAUUCUAGUUCUCCGAGUCAGGAAAUUAAUGCAUGAUAAUUUUCCAUCUCAAAAUUUCCCAUAAGCACAAAAGAACAAGUGGAAGGGAACAUAGUGAAAGAAUAUGAUAAAAUGGAAAACACAGAGUGUUUUCAGACAGAUCUCUUCGCUAUUUGUUUACUGUGCUCAUGCCAUCAGCAUACCAUACUGUACAAAUAAGAGUUUUCAGCAAGAAGACUCACCACUAUCCUAGGGCAAUUAUAUUAAUCUUGACACCUUUAGUAUCACCACUUCCCUAGGCUUAGGUAGAGUGUGCAAUCUCAGGAAUAAACUUCCCUCUUAUUCUUUCAAAUGUAUUUGCAGGCCCUGCAGUCAUCAUUACAUUAGGUGGCAUGGCAAGGGUAGACCCAGGUACGUACAACAUUCACUGGAUAGUUCAACCAUCAGGCGGAACAGGGACGGCAGCUGAGGAAGAAAAUCACCUCAUGGCGACCACACACCCUAUUUAAAGGAUCACUUGAAAGUGCUUAACGCUCCCUUCUUGUUGAUGCAACAUUCAAAAAUUAUGGAAAACCAGACUAUAGAGGUCUCUGGUAAUUAUGGAAUCUCCUGACUUUUAAGACUUUGUGAAAAAGUCCCAACAGGGAUCUCAGGGAUGUUGACUCUGAUUCAAUAACAACGACAAAACUUUCCCAAGGUGCCAGCUGUCUGUCAGUAUUCAGACAUGAACUGACUUAGUGAUAUGAAUAAUAUGUACAUUUUUAUCUACUAUAUUAAAUUUAUAAUUUAAUUUUAA